CAAGGUCAUUGACCUUGGUGUCAGUUGAAAGUGCCUAAUUAGUGGAGUAUGCAUACCAAAUAUGAAGUCUCUAUCUCUCACGGUUCAGAAGUUAUGGCGAAAGUUCGAAAAAGCUAUUUUUAGCAUAAAGGUCACAAUCAAGGUCAUAAGGUCAUUGAUCUUGGUGUCAGUUGAAAGUGUUUUUGUAGUGAAGUAUCCAUACCAAAUAUGAAGUCUCUAAGUCUCACGGUUCAAAAGUUAUGGCGAAGGUUAAAGUUGACAACAGACAAACAAACAGACAGACAUACAGCUAAACAGACAGACAGGACAAAAACAAUAUGCACCCCGAAAAAAAUUUGGGUGCAUAAAAACUGUCUUGGAGUUAACAGCAGUUCUCUGUUUCUCCUGAAUGUUAUGAACAAUUUGAUCGGGAUCGGAAGAAUGUUUCAAAAAGUCGGGCUCAGUGAUCAAUUAAUUUAAACAACAGACCGCCAAAAUUUAACCUUGGCCUCCAUGUUGCAACGUCUGCUCUGUCUAAAGGAGGAAGUUUGUUGACCAAACAGCCUGAGAUCGUAUUGCUGUAUCAACCAAAAGAUGCAGAUACACGUAUUUCAUAUGCGCGUCUGUGCAUGAGGAGAUUUCUGAAAAAGAAUAAGUGCUUGUUCAACUUACUGCGAUUUUAACGGGCUUAAAGCUUGGUCCAUGGAUGGUUAUGUUUGAGGAUUUGCCAAUUCGACCGCAAGUGCUGCUGCAAGAAAUUAAACAUGCAGAGACCUUACAAAUUACAAAGAAGUCUGAAGAAAAUUUUUAUUGGACAGAUGGGUGUAAAGCACAGACCUUAGAUAUAAAUUGAAUUGUGAGAAAUAUGAAUCAGGGAUGCAGGUAGAAAAUGGCAAAUGUGAUCCAGAUUGAUAAAAAAUGUCUAAAAAAAUUUCUUGUUUUGUAAAUAUUCAAUGCUAUGUCAAUUGUUAUUUUUUCCCCAAUAUCUAAUAGUGUUGAACAUUUCACUCCCACUUUUGCUUAAAUAGAAUGAAUAAAUUUCCAUUUAUUUAAUAUGAAUAUUAAAAAAUGCCACAUUUUUUCCAUGAUGAACUUGUGGCUUAAAUAAGAGUUCCAGUUUUUUUUCCAUACAUGCUCCUCUUUGUUUGUCAAAGAUAUAAGAUCCAAUACAUUGCUCAUGAACAUAAUGUGUAAUUUUGUUCAUUCAUUUAUAUGUUUUUUUCUCAUAAUAUAAUAAAUUGUAUAUAAUGUUGCACAUUGUUGAUGGUUUUGUAAAUAUUUAUGUAUGUAUGCAUCAUGUAGCGGUUUUAUUAGCCAUUUUAUAACCAUGUGAUUAACUCCGUAUUUUCUCCAGAUUUCCGUAUUUCCGCAUUUUAUCAACCAAGUAAAUACCUCCAUAUUUUGUAUAUAUGGAAAUGCGGAAAUCUGGAGAGAAUACGGAAAAAGAGUCCAAAUACUCCCAUCCACAUUUUCUCCAUAUUUUGAAUAUGGAGAAAAUCUGGAAAUUUGAAUAUACGAAAAUCUGGAAUGAAUGCGGAAAAUUAGUCCAAAUACUCCCGUCCGCAUUUUUUCCUUAUUUUGAAUAAGGAAAAAAUGUGGAGAUCUGAGGUGC